GGAGGGGUACGGAAGUGGUCAUAACCGCGCGCUCUCGAAAAGCGAUGGGGCCGCAAGGCCCACGUGAGUCCGAAUCUCACCCCCUCCG
rnacentral:tRNA from 1 species